AAUAACACAGGACCCUAUGAGUGUGAAACCCAGAACUCAGUGAGUGCCAGCCACAGUGACCCACUCACCCUGAAUAUUUUCUGUGAGUAACUUCUAUUCCUGUCACUAACCUCAAUAGGACCACAACCAAGAAUAUUACCUUCUCUGGGCUUGUGGCCCAGCCCUCCCUCAGAGCCACCAACACAGAACCACACUCUGUGGCCAUGACCUGCCUC
rnacentral:lncRNA from 1 species